GGGUGCAUAGCUCAGAUGGUAGAGCAGCUGACUCUUAAUCAGCGGGUCCAAGGUUCGAGCCCUUGUGCACCCACCA
rnacentral:tRNA from 15 species